rnacentral:rRNA from 1 species
GACGUAGGUGGCGAACGUUAUCCGGAAUUAUUGGGCGUAAAGGGUGCGUAGAUGGCCUGAUAAGUUAGCAGUGGGAAAUCGAGGCUCAACCUCGUGGAAGCUGGUAAUACUGUCAGGCUCGAGUGCAGGAGAGGUUAACGGAACUCCAUGUGGAGCGGUAAAAUGUGUAGAUAUAUGGAAGAACACCAAUAACGGCGAAGGCAGUUAACUAUUCUGUUACUGACAUUGAGGCACGAAAGCGUGGGAGCAAAACGGG